rnacentral:rRNA from 1 species
UACGGAGGGUGCAAGCGUUGUCCGGAAUCACUGGGCGUAAAGGGCGCGUAGGCGGCUCAUGAAGGCUGUGGUGAAAGUCCGGGGCUCAACCUCGGAUCGGCCGUGGCGACUCGUGGGCUGGAGCACUGUAGAGGCGGGUGGAAUUCCGGGUGUAGCGGUGGAAUGCGUAGAGAUCCGGAAGAACACCAGUGGCGAAGGCGGCCCGCCUGGGCAGUGGCUGACGCUGAGGCGCGACAGCGUGGGGAGCAA